AGAUAGAUAGAUAGAUAGAUAGAUAGAUAGAUAGAUAGAUAGAUAGAUAGAUAGAUAGAUAGAUAGAAAGAUAAAAAGAAAGAACAUUGAACCUUUGACUAGAUUGAUAACAAAAGAAGAGGAGAUGGUUAAAGAUGACUCGCCUUUCAAACAGAUCUGAGUCAGGAAUAGUUCACAGCUUUUAUGAAGGAUAAGCUGCAGUUUUGUUCUCAGGGAAAUCCUUUCUUGUUUUGUUUUCUCCAGUGAAAAAGAGGUAGGAAGAUGUCCUCACUGGUCACUAGUAGUGUCCAGAGCUAGCAUAACCUCUGCCUGAAAAGAUUCUGUACUUCUGCAGUGAUAUGCUCAUAGCCAAAUUGUAAAUCUUAUUCUUUUGUAAUAUUAAGAUAAAUCUAUUUAUAUUUAUUUAUAUCAGUGAACAUCUUGGUUUCAAAUGUGUAUUAAUAAGAUAUGUAAUAAAAAUCAUUUCCUUUAAAUAGAAAUAAAUGAUCACUAUUGUCUCAUGUAA